rnacentral:rRNA from 1 species
GUCACACCAUGAGAGUUGGAGAUACCCGAAGCCUAUGAGCUAACUUUUAGAGGCAGUAGUCGAAGGUAGAAUCAAUGAUUGGGGUGAAGUCGUAACAAGGUAGC